AAAAGAAGUUGAUGACCUCUGUCAGUAUUGAAAAAAGAAGAUCAUUUAAUGUCAAAUAUGAAAAUUUAACGUUUCAGUUUAAAACGAAAUACUUAAAAAAAAAUAUGUUUUAAUAGACAUGAAAUAGAUUUAGAUAUAUAUUUUUGGUCUAUUAUUAUGGAGUAAAAUAAUACAGAAAUGGCCCCUGCAAUACAUCCACCGUGCACACCCACCGCUUCCUGUACACCUGUCAGGUGCCACCCUACGCCGCCUCCAUGUAAAAAUCCAGAAAAAUGUUUGAAAAAAACAAUUUCGAAAGGCUUAAGGCCUUGUCAAAGUGCUUUAUCAAUUAUGUCAACAAGAUCCAAGUCAAAGUGUGGCAGUUGUGGUAAAUUUAAAAGCAAAAAUUCUGAUUCAAGAAGUGUCAAAUCAGUUGAAAAAUUCCUAAAACAAAAGUCCAAAGAAGCAAAAAUGCAGAAGAAAGAUAGAUUAACAGGAAGUAAAAGUUACGAAAAUUAUCAAAGGAAAAAGGGAAGUGUCAGGGGAAAGACAGAUUGCUGUGCUGGGAAAGGUCACAGAGGACGCCUCAAGAGAGGGAAGAAAUGUUGCGAAAUUCUUUAGUUAACGGAAAUCGAAUUCUAAAACACUCGUAAUCAAACUAAAAGCUGUUUAUUCAAAUAAAAGUCUAAAGCCAUGUGUCUCUGCACCGACAUGCAGUGUACACAAACAUAGACCGAGACCUGCUCCGUGUCCGGAUCCGGAUAAGUGUUACAAAA